rnacentral:rRNA from 1 species
GAUGAACGCUGGCGGCGUGCCUAAUACAUGCAAGUCGAGCGAACAGACGAGGAGCUUGCUCCUCUGACGUUAGCGGCGGACGGGUGAGUAACACGUGGAUAACCUACCUAUAAGACUGGGAUAACUUCGGGAAACCGGAGCUAAUACCGGAUAAUAUAUUGAACCGCAUGGUUCAAUAGUGAAAGACGGUUUUGCUGUCACUUAUAGAUGGAUCCGCGCCGCAUUAGCUAGUUGGUAAGGUAACGGCUUACCAAGGCAACGAUGCGUAGCCGACCUGAGAGGGAGAUCGGCCACACUGGGACUGAGACACGGUCCAGACUCCUACGGGAGGCAGCAGUAGGGAAUCUUCCGCAAUGGGCGAAAGCCUGACGGAGCAACGCCGCGUGAGUGAUGAAGGUCUUCGGAUCGUAAAACUCUGUUAUUAGGGAAGAACAAAUGUGUAAGUAACUAUGCACGUCUUGACGGUACCUAAUCAGAAAGCCACGGCUAACUACGUG